UUCCGGUUGAUCCUGCCGGACCUGACUGCUAUUUGGGUGAGGAUAAGCCAUGCGAGUCGAAUGGGAUACCUAAAUUUCCCAUGGCGAACUGCUCAAUAACACAUGAUCAACUUACCCUAUAGAGAAAAAUAACCUCGGGAAACUGAGGAUAAUGUUUCAUAGUUGAAAAGGCUUGGAAAAGUUUUUCGACCAAAGGGAUAAGAAAAAUGGUUUUUAUCCGCUAUAGGAUAGGAUCGUGGUCGAUUAUGGUCGUUGGUGAGGUAAUGGCUCACCAAGCCGAUAAUCGAUAGGGGCCGUGAGAGCGGGAGCCCCGAGAUGGGUACUGAGACAGCGACCCAGGCCUUACGAGGCGCAGCAGGCGCGGAACCUCCGCAAUACACGAAAGUGUGACGGGGUUACCCAAAGUGUUCAAUUUUGAACUGUGGUAGGUGAGUAAUGUCCCCUACUAGAAAGGAGAGGGCAAGGCUGGUGCCAGCCGCCGCGGUAAAACCAGCUCUUCAAGUGGUCGGGAUAAUUAUUGGGCUUAAAGUGUCCGUAGCCGGUUUAGUAAGUUCCUGGUAAAAUCGGGUAGCUUAACUAUCUGCAUGCUAGGAAUACUGCUAUACUAGAGGGCGGGAGAGGUCUGAGGUACUACAGGGGUAGGGGUGAAAUCUUAUAAUCCUUGUAGGACCACCAGUGGCGAAGGCGUCAGACUGGAACGUGCCUGACGGUGAGGGACGAAAGCCAGGGGAGCGAACCGGAUUAGAUACCCGGGUAGUCCUGGCCGUAAACGAUGCAUACUAGGUGAUGGCAUGGCCAUGAGCCGUGUCAGUGCCGUAGGGAAACCGUUAAGUGUGCCGCCUGGGAAGUACGGUCGCAAGGCUAAAACUUAAAGGAAUUGGCGGGGGAGCACCACAAGGGUGAAGCCUGCGGUUCAAUUGGAUUCAACGCCGGA
rnacentral:rRNA from 1 species